GCAACCAUAAUAUUUUUGCGAUAUAAACAUAGUCAGCAACUACACAUGUGGUGUUGUCAUCUUGCAAAAACUUGAUCUACCAAUCUACCAAAUUAAGAAAAGAUAUCAUGGGGGCAGAGAAUAGACUAGAUGGCUUUGCGUUCAAGCUAAUGAUCCAGCUACGGCAAGUAAAAAAAACAAGUAGACUCGCAUGUGAGCUGCUUCUGUUUCGCUUUACGGCUAUUCACACGGCAAAACUGCUUCAUCUGAUCCAGCUACAGCCUAUCAUAAUUUGAAGACACAUGCAUCAGUGAACACACAUAGUAGUAUAACAGUGGGAUUAGUAAAGCUACGGACUAUCAUAAUUGAAAUCCUUUUUAAUAUAAUACUUGCAAAUCACAAACUUGCAGACAUCUAGAACUGACCUGAGGAUGUGAAGUGAAGCUACGGCCUAUCAUAAUUGAAAUCCUUUUGACUAUAAUACUUGCAGAUCACAAACUUGCAGACAUCUAGAACUGCCUUGAGUAUGUAAUUGAUAUCAGUUUGGAAGGGUACAAAUCUUUUUUGAAGAUAGGUUGGAAGAGAUGGCGUCCAAGGAUGGCGCCUAUCGAGGGCACAACACAGAGCAGGGUGGCAGCACUGGGCACAGCGUGGAGCAGGACGCAGGGCAGUGACAGGCGUCGGCACCUUGUUCUGCAGGGGCAUCGUGAUCACCAUUGCAGGAUGUGGAGGGCGCGACGCCGAACACAGCAGGACUCUUGUGGUCUGAGUCAGUGACGGCGUGACAGGCGCCAGCAGGUCUCGAUCUCGACGCCCUGCUCCACCCCCCUAAGCUUGCGGCCGCCGGGCGACGAGUCCUUCUGCUGCUGGCCAUCAACACAGAUGUCAGCGGGCCGCUGAGUUCGACGAGCUAGCGCACACCAUCAUGCCGGUGCUCACGCCCUAUGCUCCAUACCUCAACCAGCGGGCGUAGUUGCUCGAGUCCGUCCGCACCUUCGACCGCAGUGACAAUGUCGACAUCUCCACUACCAAGACCGUGUGCUACAUGGCGAGGCUGGGCCAGCUGCUCACCUUCGAGGAGCUCAUGAUGUGGGACA
rnacentral:lncRNA from 1 species